AUGAACAAAGCUAGUGGAGGUGAUGGAAUUCCAGUUGAGCUAUUUCAAAUCCUGAAAGAUGAUGCUGUGAAAGUGCUGCACUCAAUAGGCCAGCACAUUUGGAAAACUAAGCAGUGGCCACAGGACUGGAAAAGGUCAGUUUUCAUUCCAAUCCCAAAGAAAGGCAAUGCCAAACAAUGCUCAAACUACUGCACAAUUGCACUCAUCUCACACGCUAGUAAAGGAAUGUUCAAAAUUCUCCAAGCCAGGCUUCAACAAUACGUGAACCAUGAACUUCCAAAUGUUCAAGCUGGUUUUAGAAAAGGCAGAAGAACCAAAGAUCAAAUUGCCAACAACUGCUGGAUCAUGGAAAAAGCAAGAGAGUUCCAGAAAAACAUCUAUUUCUGCUUUAUUGACUAUGUCAAAGCCUUUGACUGUGUGGAUCACCAUAAACUGUGGAAAAUUCUGAAAGAGAUGGGAAUACCAGAUCACCUGACCUGCCUCUUGAGAAAUCUGUAUGCAGGUCAGGAAGCAACAGUUAGAACUGGACAUGAAACAACACACUGGUUCCAAAUAGGAAAAGGAGUACAUCAAGGCUGUAUAUUGUCACCCUGCUUAUUUAACUUCUAUGCAGAGAACAUCAGGAGAAACGCUGGGCUGGAAGAAGCACAAGCUAGAAUCAAGAUUGCUGGGAGAAAUAUAAAUAACCUCAGAUAUGCAGAUGACACCACCCUUAUGGCAGAAAGUGAAGAGAAACUAAAAACCCUUUGGAUGAAAGUGAAAGAGGAGAGUGAAAAAGUUGGCUUAAAGCUCAACAUUCAGAAAACAAAGAUCAUGGCAUCUGGUCCCAUCACUUCAUGGGAAAUAGAUGGGGAAACAGUGGAAACAGUGUCAGACUUUAUUUUUGGGGGCUCCAAAAUCACUGCCGAUGGUGAUUGCAGCCAUGAAAUUAAAAGACAUUUACUCCUUGGAAGGAAAGUUAUGACCAACCUAGAUAGCAUAUUGAAAAGCAGAGAUAUUACUUUGCUGACUAAGGUCCAUCUAGUCAAGGCUAUGGUUUUUCCAGCGGUCAUGUAUGAAUGUGAGAGUUGGACUGUGAAGAACGCUGAGCGCUAA
rnacentral:lncRNA from 1 species